CCUACGGGAGGCAGCAGUGGGGAAUAUUGCGCAAUGGGCGAAAGCCUGACGCAGCGACGCCGCGUGAGGGAUGAAGGUCUUCGGAUCGUAAACCUCUGUCAGCAGGGAAGAACGGUCACUGUGCUAAUCAGCAGUGAAUUGACGGUACCUGCAACGGAAGCACCGGCUAACUCCGUGCCAGCAGCCGCGGUAAUACGGAGGGUGCGAGCGUUAAUCGGAAUUACUGGGCGUAAAGCGCUCGUAGGCGGUAUGUCAAGUCAAGGGUGAAAUCCCCGCGCUCAACGUGGGAACUGCCUUUGAAACUGGCAAACUUGAGUGUGUGAGAGGAGAGUGGAAUUCGAGGUGUAGCAGUGAAAUCCGUAGAUAUCAGGAGGAACAUCAGGGGCGAAGGCGACUAUCUGGCACAUAACUGACGCUGAGGAGCGAAAGCGUGGGUAGCAAACAGGAUUAGAUACCCUGGUAGUC
rnacentral:rRNA from 1 species